rnacentral:rRNA from 1 species
CAGUAGCCGCGGGAACACGUAGGUGGCAAGCGUUGUCCGGAAUUAUUGGGCGUAAAGGGCUCGCAGGCGGUUUCUUAAGUCUGAUGUGAAAGCCCCCGGCUCAACCGGGGAGGGUCAUUGGAAACUGGGAAACUUGAGUGCAGAAGAGGAGAGUGGAAUUCCACGUGUAGCGGUGAAAUGCGUAGAGAUGUGGAGGAACACCAGUGGCGGAGGCGACUCUCUGGUCUGUAACUGACGCUGAGGAGCGAAAGCGUGGGGAGCGAACAGGAUUAGAUACCCGCGUAGUCCCUGUCUCUUAUAA